UAUCCCGAGACUCUACCGAGUCUCUUGAUAAUUAUUAUUCAUAAUUUGUUUCAGUGACGAUGCAGGACCUCUUAUAAUGAGCGACAGUGACCUGAUUGAGCGUGCAAAGGAUUCUGGCUCAUGGACAGGGAUGAUUUGGUAGCGAAUGAAGACAAACGGAAUGGUUUUUUGCGCCCAGAAAGGAAACGUAAAACCGAAUUAGAACGAUUAAAUUCAUAACUGUAUUCUGGAAAAAUAAAAGAAAUGCCGUCUUGAUUAAACUGUG